GGACCAUUAGCUCAGUUGGUAGAGCAGAUGACUCUUAAUCAUAAGGUCCGGGGUUCGAGUCCCCGAUGGUCCACCA
rnacentral:tRNA from 1 species